rnacentral:rRNA from 1 species
AUUGAACGCUGGCGGCAGGCCUAACACAUGCAAGUCGAACGAGUGGCGGACGGGUGAGUAAUGUAUGGGAAACUGCCUGAUGGAGGGGGAUAACUACUGGAAACGGUAGCUAAUACCGCAUACCAUCAGAUGUGCCCAGAUGGGAUUAGCUUGUAGGUGGGGUAAAGGCGCACCUAGGCGACGAUCCCUAGCUGGUCUGAGAGGAUGAUCAGCCACACUGUGACUGAGACACGGCCCAGACUCCUACGGGAGGCAGCAGUGGGGAAUAUUGCACAAUGGGCGCAAGCCUGAUGCAGCCAUGCCGCGUGUAUGAAGAAGGCCUUCGGGUUGUAAAGUACUUUCAGCGGGGAGGCGUUACCCACAGAAGAAGCACCGGCUAACUCCGUGCCAGCCGCCGCGGUAAUAC